UACGGAGGAUCCGAGCGUUAUCCGGAUUUAUUGGGUUUAAAGGGUGCGCAGGCGGGAGAUUAAGUCGGUGGUGAAAUUUUGCAGCUCAACUGUAAAAGUGCCAUUGAUACUGGUUUUCUUGAGUGUAGAUGAAGUAGGCGGAAUUUGUGGUGUAGCGGUGAAAUGCAUAGAUAUCACGAGGAACUCCGAUUGCGCAGGCAGCUUACUAAACUAUAACUGACGCUCAGGCACGAAGGCGUGGGGAUCAAACAGGAUUAGAUACCCG
rnacentral:rRNA from 1 species